rnacentral:sRNA from 1 species
GCCGGGGCCUGAAAGGACCGGUCAGAAGAGCUCGCGCCGGCAGGCGUGAGCGGCUUGUGCCCAUGUUGCUCAGUGGAGGAUGUGGCUAUGAGAA